GGCUUCAUAGCUCAGUGGUUAGAGCACUGGUCUUGUAAACCAGGGGUUGUUUGUUCAACUCUCAUGGGCUU